GUAGGGGAAGGUUCCAUCCUUAAACAUUAGAGUUUUUGUUUUUGAAGUGGUCUCAAGCACAUCAGUCAGGUUUCCAACUUCCUAUGUAGAAGAGAGUGAUUUAGAACUCCUUCAUCUCCUACCUCCCAAAGAGGCACAGGCAUGUACAAACACACACUUAUGUAAUGCUGAUGACCAAACUCAGGGCCUUGAACAUAUUAGGCAAGCAUUCUCCCAACUGAACUGUAUCCCCAGCCUGAAAAGCACUUUUCUUAAACUUCAUUGUGUACCUGAGUCCCCAGAGAGACUUGUUAGCACACAGGCUGCCUAGCUAACCCCCAGGGUUUCUGAUCUAGUAGGUCUGGGUAGAACCAGAGAAUUUUUGCAGCAGAUUACAGCUGCUGGUGGUAAGAUUACAGUUUGAGACUCACUGCCUUAAAAUCUUCCUUGCAAUUAGGGGAAUGAGUAUUUCUGUUGUGGGAAUAUGUUCUCUUAUUGGGAUUGAUUUAAUUCCUACUCUUGAUAUCUCGAUACCCGUAGUCUCUCAUUAAUAUCCAGGUGUUUAUCAAAGCUGACAACAUCCAAAUCCCAGUCCUCAGUCUUUCCUCUCUGUUUGUCUCAGCCCCUUGGUUCUGGCUGCCCUCCGAGGUGCCCAUGCACCCUCGCCUGUUCUCUGCCUCCCAAGUGCUGGGAUUAAAGGUGUGCGCCACCACGCCCGCCACUCCAUAUUUUCAUUCACAGGUUUCUCCUCAGCCCAUUCUUUCUCCAAAACCUGCCUGUUCUGCAUGGUGUUCUUUGAUCCUCUCACAGUCCUGAUGCUCGCGACCAGGAACACCUGCUCCAAGCUGCUGUGACAUUCACAUUCAGACCCUUACUUGGAAGGCUACCCUCUCUAGUAUCUGGCCAGGUGCAAACUGUUGGGGAAUCAAGGGGAUCUCUCUCUCCCUUCCUCUCCCCAAAAGUUUUUGGUACACCAUUCCCAACUUUUUUUCACAACUUCAUUUGCUCUUGAGACAUCACAAUCCCUGACUGCCUAACAAUCUGGUCUCAACCUCUCCCACACCCCUGUAACUCACCUUGACAUUUCCUGCUGUUGUUAGCUUCUGAUGGCUUCUCACAUUUAUAGUCCGUGUGAGCCUCAGAAAGGCAAGUUUUGUGCAGUUCCAAGCUUCUCCUACUUGAACGAAUCGGGAGUGGGUGCUUUUUUGUUUUGUUUUGUUUUGUUUUUCUAUAAAAGCAGGACAGAGAGAUUUCUCAUUAUUCCAGGGAAACAUCCCCUCACUAGUACAAGAGUACAUUUGCAAACCAGCCUUUCAAAGAGCUAUUUCAAAAGCAAUAAGCAAGUGGUUCCAUGGUGAGGAUUACAAACACACCCUCAGGGUCAGUCAAGGGUGAGGAGGACAGUUCUACUAUGACAAGACACAUUGGGCCAGACUCCGUGGGAGAGUGUCAGACAUACAUCUUUAAAGUGCUGUAUCACAAACAGCUUAGAUGCAAGCAAAGGAGAGCUACUUAAAGAAACUAGGUGUAGAUAUCAUGAAGGUGUUGAUUCAAAAGAUGCUUGUGGAGAAUUUGAAGCUAAUUGUUAACUUAAUGUGAGAAUGGGGAAAAGCAAUAUUUUGUAUUAUUGUAAUAUAUAUAUAUAUUGUUAUUUUAAAAUAAGCAUGUAUAAUUAAAUAAAUUAGAUAUUAUAAAUAGACAUCUGGCUAUUUGAUUUCUAUUUCUGGAAGUUUAUUCACAAUUGAUACUUAUUUUUACUUUUAAAAGUUUUCCCAAACUGACCAAAGAUCUUAUUUAAGUUGUAGCAUUCAUUUUUAUUAUUAUUUAUUUAUUUAUUUAUUAUUAUUAUAACACUAGGUGACUAGUCUGAGGUGUGGUGGCACAUGCCUUGAAUCUCAGCACUUAGGAGGCAGAGGCAUGUAGAUCUCUCUGAGUUUGAGGCCAGCCUGGUCUACAUAGUGAGUUCCAGAAUAGGCCAGAACUACAUAGUGAGACCCUGACUUGGAAACAAGCAAGCAGACCAACAAAGCAACAAAAUACUAGAUAAGCUAAUAGAUAACAUAAGGAAAGAUGUGAGAAACUUAAUAUUUUAGCAUUCAGAUUUCAGAGAUAGAGAUCAUUCUGGAUUGUGCCUUCUUUGUGUGUGUGUUUUUUUUUUUUAAUGAGCUCUAGAAGAAGCUUAACUAUCAAUGUGUAAAAUCUGAUGUUACAGUUAUAAUGUAUGCACCUAGCUUAUUAUUUAAUGUAUCUUUAAUAUCUUACAUGUAUUCUGUUAUUGUUAUGGUAUAUUUUGCUAGGCUGAUUACAGGUGUUGGUGGAAUCACUCAGAUGUAUAAACAAGAAGGAAC
ensembl:lincRNA A530017D24Rik RIKEN cDNA A530017D24 gene